rnacentral:rRNA from 1 species
CCUACGGGUGGCAGCAGUGGGGAAUAUUGCACAAUGGGGGAAACCCUGAUGCAGCGACGCCGCGUGAGUGAAGAAGUAUUUCGGUACGUAAAGCUCUAUCAGCAGGGAAGAAAAUGACGGUACCUGACUAAGAAGCCCCGGCUAACUACGUGCCAGCAGCCGCGGUAAUACGUAGGGGGCAAGCGUUAUCCGGAUUUACUGGGGGUAAAGGGAGCGUAGACGGCAGCGCAAGUCUGGAGGGAAAUCCCAUGGCUUAACCAUGGAACUGCUUUGGAAACUGUGCAGCUAGAGUGCAGGAGAGGUAAGCGGAAUGCCUAGUGGAGCGGUGAAAUGCGUAGAUAUUAGGAGGAACACCAGUGGCGAAGGCGGCUUACUGGACUGUAACUGACGUUGAGGCUCGAAAGCGUGGGGAGCAAACAGGAUUAGAUACCCCUGUAGUC